UUGUCACAAUUUUGGAGACAGACCAGUGACCAGACACACUGAGUUCAUGCAGUUGGACAGUUCAUUUUAUUCAGAUCUUGCUCCCUUAUAUACCUUAGAAGCCUAUGAGGUUAAUCCUCAUUGGCUGAGCCAGUUACUUCCUGCUCAGCCAGCCAAUAGGAGCCUGAGUCUCCAAUAGCCUGGGCGUGCUCUUACUGGUCGAAUUAGAUAAGUCAGGUAACAGGACAUUGGUCACUGCCCAGUUGCAGAAUACAAUGGAUUUUUGCAGGGAGGAUUUUAUUUCUCAUAUUUCUGUGUGUUACCUGAGGAGCUUUUCAAAUGCCAUAGUGUUCAGAGAUCACAUCCAGCAUCCACAAAAGUACCUAGAAUGGCUCCCAUUAAUUUCCAUGGGAGACGCUGUCAAGCAGUGUUAAAGAUAGGACUGAGCACAUCCUAGGUCUCUUCAGAUGUAAUAGAAUUUAUUUUCUGAUAAAUCCAAAGCUAUUCCUGUAAAUAAUCUCUUUCAUUUCUUAG